AGGACGAACGCUGGCGGCGUGCUUAACACAUGCAAGUCGAGCGGAAAGGCCCUUCGGGGUACUCGAGCGGCGAACGGGUGAGUAACACGUGAGUAAUCUGCCCCUAGCUCUGGGAUAGCUCCGGGAAACCGGGAUUAAUACCGGAUACGACCACCUUAGACAUCUUUUGUGGUGGAAAGAAUUUCGGCUAGGGAUGAGCUCGCGGCCUAUCAGCUUGUUGGUGGGGUAACGGCCUACCAAGGCGACGACGGUAGCCGGCCUGAGAGGGCGACCGGCCACACUGGGACUGAGACACGGCCCAGACUCCUACGGGAGGCAGCAGUGGGGAAUAUUGCGCAAUGGGCGAAAGCCUGACGCAGCGACGCCGCGUGGGGGAUGAAGGCCUUCGGGUUGUAAACCCCUUUCAGCAGGGACGAAGCGAAAGUGACGGUACCUGCAGAAGAAGCGCCGGCUAACUACGUGGCCAGCAGCCGC
rnacentral:rRNA from 1 species